UUUAAGUAGAGUUCAUACGUCUGAUAAGCAUGAUUCUAUAUAUUAAAUCAUUAUGCACAACCUUGGGACAAAAUUGGGGUAAAUUGGCUAAUUAAUCCUAGAACUGUGUAACUACAUGAAAAAGAAUUGAAUUAACAACACUAUAUUUUGCAAAAAAACUGAGUGACAUAUUAUUAACAAAUUAAAACAGUAAUUAAGAACCAUAUUAUUGAGUUUCGUUUCAAACCUCGGCU